rnacentral:rRNA from 1 species
GAAGACUCCCGACUGUUUACCAAAAACACAUUGCCACUCGUAAGGAACGUAUAAGGUGUGACGCCUGCCCGGUGCUCGAAGGUUAAGAGGAUGCGUCAGUCGCAAGAUGAAGCGUUGAAUUGAAGCCCGAGUAAACGGCGGCCGUAACUAUAACGGUCCUAAGGUAGCGAAAUUCCUUGUCGGUUAAAUACCGACCUGCAUGAAUGGCGUAACGAGAUGGGAGCUGUCUCAACCAGAGAUUCAGUGAAAUUGUAGUGGAGGUGAAAAUUCCUCCUACCCGCGGCAAGACGGAAAGACCCCGUGGACCUUUACUACAACUUAGCACUGCUAAUGGGAAUAUCAGCGCAGGAUAGGUGGGAGCUUUGAAGUAAGGGCUUUGGCUCUUAUGGAGCCAUCCUUGAG